CAUCGCCUGCUGAACCAAAAACGCACAAUGGAGGAGGACUAUAUAAGCAAGGCCCCUGGCCCCUGGAGGAGACAAGAAAUUAUCAUAGAGAUUGAGGGGUGCCCUCGAAGGAAAACCUCUUCUCUAAAUAAUAUUUCUUUUUAGGCUUAGCAACCAAUGUAAGUAGAAAUAGAUCUUCUAGUUUCUACUAGAUUGAGAGAGAUAGAGUGGAGG
rnacentral:lncRNA from 1 species